AUAGCCGUGUUUCGAGUUACUCCGGAACACCCGGGAUUUUUCGUAUUUAGCCACGCCGGUCACGUGAUAUGAGCAAAAUGUUCCACAGGGGUACUUCCGGUUAAUUUUGUUUACACUGGUAACAAAAUUGUUUUUGACAAAAUAUAGAUUUUGCGGCACAAACUGUCGCAAAUCAGAUAAAGGAUAGCAAGGGAUAUAUAUUUACUUGGGAAGAUGUCAAAGUUUACCUUUUCCCAAACCCGAGAAAAGCGUUCACGCAGAGGAAACGAUGGCGUCAUUUGUGUAGAAAACCACGAGCAGCCGAAAUUGAGUGCGAUUAUUACAUUCCGUGAAAGCUGAACCAACAAAGAAACAUCAUUGUUCUAGCCAGUUUGCUUAUAUUAACUUUUAGGAAAACCAAGAGGUUGAUAACAAUGGCUGAUCUGCAUAUAAUGACUGCUAGUUAUUGGCUGGUAUGCAGUGAAAGGGAGCUAAAAAGGAGUAAAAAGUUCAUAUCAGCCAGGUGAGAAUUAAUUUCUUCUUUUUUGUGUGUUAUACAUAUGUAAUUCUUUUCUUUUGCUGCUUCAAAUCUUGUGUAUUUGAAAAUUUUCAGUCUAAUAUUUGGCAAUGUUAUAGGUAGUGUGGUUUAAAUAAACCAGUGUUAAGGAAUAUCCAGUAAUGGCAUGACAUCAUGAGAGUUUGGCAUACCGACAUUCAGAUGAUUAAUGAUGAAACUGAAGACCUCAAGUGAAAGGCAUGGAAAAUUAUCCUGUUCCCAUUAACCUGGAAAAGAGGAGGGAUGCCACAAUAUUGAUAAUAGACUUUUGUCAAUUUGAGAAGCAAAGAUGUAUAAAAAAAAAAAAAAAAAAAAAAAAAAAAAAAAUAAAUAAAUAAAUAAAUAAUGCUGAAAUUAUAAUUCAUGUAUUUGUUAAAAAUACUGUUCACUGUACAUACAUGUAUAUUUUUUUUAACUUAUUUGGAAAUACAUGAAGUAAUUCAUAUUAAAACUGAAUGUAUGAGUUUUCAUGAUUUUUAUCAAUAAAGCUUACCAUAUUUAUUGU